GAACGCUGGCGGCGUGCUUAACACCUGCAAGUCGAACGAAGCACUUAUGUUUGAUUCUUCGGAUGAAGACUUUUGUGACUGAGUGGCGGACGGGUGAGUAACGCGUGGGUAACCUGCCUCAUACAGGGGGAUUACAGUUAGAAAUGACUGCUAAUACCGCAUAAGACCACAGCACCGCAUGGUGCAGGGGUAAAAACUCCGGUGGUAUGAGAUGGACUCGCGUCUGAUUAGCUAGUUGGUGGGGUUAACGGCCUACCAAGGCGACGAUCAGUAGCCGACCUGAGAGGGUGACCGGCCCCAUUUGGGACUGAGACACGGCCCCAAACUCCUACGGGAGGCAGCAGUGGGGAAUAUUGCACAAUGGGGGAAACCCUGAUGCAGCGACGCCGCGUGAAGGAUGAAGUAUUUCGGUAUGUAAACUUCUAUCAGCAGGGAAGAAAAUGACGGUACCUGACUAAGAAGCCCCGGCUAACUACGUGCCAGCAGCCGCGGUAAUACGUAGGGGGCAAGCGUUAUCCGGAUUUACUGGGUGUAAAGGGAGCGUAGACGGUAUGGCAAGUCUGAUGUGAAAGGCCAGGGCUCAACCCUGGGACUGCAUUGGAAACUGUCGAACUAGAGUGUCGGAGAGGCAAGUGGAAUUCCUAGUGUAGCGGUGAAAUGCGUAGAUAUUAGGAGGAACACCAGUGGCGAAGGCGGCUUGCUGGACGAUGACUGACGUUGAGGCUCGAAAGCGUGGGGAGCAAACAGGAUUAGAUACCCUGGUAGUCCACGCCGUAAAC
rnacentral:rRNA from 1 species